GAUCAACGCUGGCGGCGUGCAUAACACAUGCAAGUCGAACGAAGUGGCGAACGGGUGAGUAACACGUGAGUAACCUGCCUUACACAAGGGGAUAGCCUUUGGAAACGUAGAAUAAUACACUAUAGUGUAAGAUGGACUUGCGUCUGAUUCGCUAGUUGGUGAGAUAAAAGCCCACCAAGGCGACGAUCAGUAGCCGGCUUGAGAGAGUGUACGGCUACAGUGGGACUGAGAAACGGCCCAAACUCUACGUGAGGCAGCAGUGGGGAAUUUUGCACAAUGGGGGAAACCCUGAGACAGCGACGACGCGUGAUUUAGAAGGCCUUCGGGUUGUAAAAAUCUGUUGUUAAGGAAGGAAUGGAAAGUUCAUACUGUGACGGUACUUAACCAGAAAGGGACGGCUAACUACGUGCCAGCAGCCGCGGUAAUUC
rnacentral:rRNA from 1 species